CAGCAAGCCAGGAAGGAGGAGGCUGGCAGAGCUCCCUGCAGCAGACCAGACAGCUUUUGCAAGCAGAUGUUCCUGGCAUCUGUGAGCAGAAAAGGCUUCCCGUGCAGUGAUCAAAGGCCAAUAAAUUCUAGGAAAGAAGAGCUUUGUUAACUCAGAGGCUGAAACAAGAAGAAAAUGGCAACAACAAAACCUAUGAUAUUAUUUUCCUUUUUAAGUACCCUGGAUUUAUAAAAAAUCAUUUAGCAUGCAUUUUUCCAAACAGA